CCUACGGGAGGCAGCAGUGGGGGAUAUUGCACAAUGGGGGAAACCCUGAUGCAGCGACGCCGCGUGGGUGAAGAAGCGCCUCGGCGCGUAAAGCCCUGUCAGCAGGUAAGAAAAUGACGGUACCUGAAGAAGAAGCCCCGGCUAACUCCGUGCCAGCAGCCGCGGUAAUACGUCGGGGGCAAGCGUUAUCCGGAUUUACUGGGUGUAAAGGGGGCGCAGACGGGGAUGCAAGCCAGUAGUGAAAGCCCGGGGCCCAACCCCGGGACUGCUCUUGGAACUGCGUGGCUAGAGUGCAGGAGGGGCAGGCGGAAUUCCUGGUGUAGCGGUGAAAUGCGUAGAUAUCAGGAGGAACACCGGUGGCGAAGGCGGCCUGCUGGAGUGUAACUGACGUUGAGGCCCGAAAGCGUGGGGAGCAAACAGGAUUAGAUACCCUUGUAGUC
rnacentral:rRNA from 1 species